UACGUAGGGUGCAGGCGUUAAUCGGAAUUACUGGGCGUAAAGCGUGCGCAGGCGGUCUUUUAAGUCAGGUGUGAAAUCCCCGGGCUUAACCUGGGAACUGCGUUUGAAACUGGAAGGCUAGAGUGUGGCAGAGGGGGGUGGAAUUCCACGUGUAGCAGUGAAAUGCGUAGAUAUGUGGAGGAACACCGAUGGCGAAGGCAGCCCCCUGGGCUAACACUGACGCUCAUGCACGAAAGCGUGGGGAGCAAACAGG
rnacentral:rRNA from 1 species